rnacentral:rRNA from 1 species
UACGGGGGGGGCAAGCGUUGUUCGGAAUUACUGGGCGUAAAGGGCUCGUAGGCGGCCAACUAAGUCAGACGUGAAAUCCCUCGGCUUAACCGGGGAACUGCGUCUGAUACUGGAUGGCUUGAGUUUGGGAGAGGGAUGCGGAAUUCCAGGUGUAGCGGUGAAAUGCGUAGAUAUCUGGAGGAACACCGGUGGCGAAGGCGGCAUCCUGGACCAAGACUGACACUGAAAAGCGAAAGCCAGGGGAGCAAACGGG